rnacentral:rRNA from 1 species
AACGAACGCUGGCGGCAUGCCUAACACAUGCAAGUCGAACGAGACCUUCGGGUCUAGUGGCGCACGGGUGCGUAACGCGUGGGAAUCUGCCCUUGGGUUCGGAAUAACAGUUGGAAACGACUGCUAAUACCGGAUGAUGACUUCGGUCCAAAGAUUUAUCGCCCAGGGAUGAGCCCGCGUAGGAUUAGCUUGUUGGUGAGGUAAAAGCUCACCAAGGCGACGAUCCUUAGCUGGUCUGAGAGGAUGAUCAGCCACACUGGGACUGAGACACGGCCCAGACUCCUACGGGAGGCAGCAGUGGGGAAUAUUGGACAAUGGGCGAAAGCCUGAUCCAGCAAUGCCGCGUGAGUGAUGAAGGCCUUAGGGUUGUAAAGCUCUUUUACCCGGGAUGAUAAUGACAGUACCGGGAGAAUAAGCCCCGGCUAACUCCGUG